rnacentral:rRNA from 1 species
UACGAAGGGGGCUAGCGUUGUUCGGAAUUACUGGGCGUAAAGCGCACGUAGGCGGAUUGCUAAGUCAGGGGUGAAAUCCUGGAGCUCAACUCCAGAACUGCCUUUGAUACUGGCGACCUUGAGUCCGGGAGAGGUGAGUGGAACUGCGAGUGUAGAGGUGAAAAUUCGUAGAUAUUCGCAAGAACACCAGUGGCGAAGGCGGCUCACUGGCCCGGUACUGACGCUGAGGUGCGAAAGCGUGGGGAGCAAACAGGGAGUUAAGA